UACGUAGGGUCCGAGCGUUGUCCGGAAUUACUGGGCGUAAAGAGCUCGUAGGUGGUUUGUCGCGUUGUUCGUGAAAACUCACAGCUCAACUGUGGGCGUGCGGGCGAUACGGGCAGACUAGAGUACUGCAGGGGAGACUGGAAUUCCUGGUGUAGCGGUGAAAUGCGCAGAUAUCAGGAGGAACACCGGUGGCGAAGGCGGGUCUCUGGGCCGUAACUGACGCUGAGGAGCGAAAGCGUGGGGAGCGAACAGG
rnacentral:rRNA from 1 species